rnacentral:SRP_RNA from 1 species
AUGUUAUAAUGGUCCGGCGAACAGUCACCGCCGUGUCUGAUCUGCAGCCGAUCGCUGGUCCUGUGCGAUGUGGCCCGUGAACCCCGUCAGGUCCGGAAGGAAGCAGCGGUAAGCGGUCAACCGCAUGUGCCGCAGGGUAGCCUGCGUCGGUUGCAGGUCAGGCAUGGCGGCUUUGCAU